GCUCAGGACGAACGCUGGCGGCGUGCCUAAUACAUGCAAGUCGAACGAACUCUGGUAUUGAUUGGUGCUUGCAUCAUGAUUUACAUUUGAGUGAGUGGCGAACUGGUGAGUAACACGUGGGAAACCUGCCCAGAAGCGGGGGAUAACACCUGGAAACAGAUGCUAAUACCGCAUAACAACUUGGACCGCAUGGUCCGAGCUUGAAAGAUGGCUUCGGCUAUCACUUUUGGAUGGUCCCGCGGCGUAUUAGCUAGAUGGUGGGGUAACGGCUCACCAUGGCAAUGAUACGUAGCCGACCUGAGAGGGUAAUCGGCCACAUUGGGACUGAGACACGGCCCAAACUCCUACGGGAGGCAGCAGUAGGGAAUCUUCCACAAUGGACGAAAGUCUGAUGGAGCAACGCCGCGUGAGUGAAGAAGGGUUUCGGCUCGUAAAACUCUGUUGUUAAAGAAGAACAUAUCUGAGAGUAACUGUUCAGGUAUUGACGGUAUUUAACCAGAAAGCCACGGCUAACUACGUGCCAGCAGCCGCGGUAAUACGUAGGUGGCAAGCGUUGUCCGGAUUUAUUGGGCGUAAAGCGAGCGCAGGCGGUUUUUUAAGUCUGAUGUGAAAGCCUUCGGCUCAACCGAAGAAGUGCAUCGGAAACUGGGAAACUUGAGUGCAGAAGAGGACAGUGGAACUCCAUGUGUAGCGGUGAAAUGCGUAGAUAUAUGGAAGAACACCAGUGGCGAAGGCGGCUGUCUGGUCUGUAACUGACGCUGAGGCUCGAAAGUAUGGGUAGCAAACAGGAUUAGAUACCCUGGUAGUCCAUACCGUAAACGAUGAAUGCUAAGUGUUGGAGGGUUUCCGCCCUUCAGUGCUGCAGCUAACGCAUUAAGCAUUCCGCCUGGGGAGUACGGCCGCAAGGCUGAAACUCAAAGGAAUUGACGGGGGCCCGCACAAGCGGUGGAGCAUGUGGUUUAAUUCGAAGCUACGCGAAGAACCUUACCAGGUCUUGACAUACUAUGCAAAUCUAAGAGAUUAGACGUUCCCUUCGGGGACAUGGAUACAGGUGGUGCAUGGUUGUCGUCAGCUCGUGUCGUGAGAUGUUGGGUUAAGUCCCGCAACGAGCGCAACCCUUAUUAUCAGUUGCCAGCAUUAAGUUGGGCACUCUGGUGAGACUGCCGGUGACAAACCGGAGGAAGGUGGGGAUGACGUCAAAUCAUCAUGCCCCUUAUGACCUGGGCUACACACGUGCUACAAUGGAUGGUACAACGAGUUGCGAACUCGCGAGAGUAAGCUAAUCUCUUAAAGCCAUUCUCAGUUCGGAUUGUAGGCUGCAACUCGCCUACAUGAAGUCGGAAUCGCUAGUAAUCGCGGAUCAGCAUGCCGCGGUGAAUACGUUCCCGGGCCUUGUACACACCGCCCGUCACACCAUGAGAGUUUGUAACACCCAAAGUCGGUGGGGUAACCUUUUAGGAAACAGCGCCUAAGGUGGGACAGAUGAUU
rnacentral:rRNA from 1 species